rnacentral:misc_RNA from 1 species
GGAAUAAUAAGCUCUUUUGUUUUUCACCAGAUCUUUAGUGCUCACAAAGUAUUACCAUGUUAUUAUUGAUAGGGAGUUUUCUUAAAAAAAAUUUUUUUCAUUGCUUCAUUUUAUUGUAUCUAACCUGGAUUCGGCAUAGGAUUGUUUUCAUUAUCUUGUGUGUGCGUGUAGUACAAGUGUUUCACCUCACUGAAGUGUAAUUGCUGCCCCACUCUGAUAAGUGCUAUUAAUGGAGUUCAUGCC